rnacentral:rRNA from 1 species
UACGGAGGGGGCUAGCGUUGUUCGGAAUUACUGGGCGUAAAGCGCACGUAGGCGGGCGAUUAAGUCAGGGGUGAAAUCCCAGAGCUCAACUCUGGAACUGCCUUUGAUACUGGUCGUCUCGAGAUCGGAAGAGGUGAGUGGAAUUCCCAGUGUAGAGGUGAAAUUCGUAGAUAUUGGGAAGAACACCAGUGGCGAAGGCGGCUCACUGGUCCGAUACUGACGCUGAGGUGCGAAAGCGUGGGGAGCAAACAGG